rnacentral:lncRNA from 1 species
GUUAGUUUAAGAUUUCAUCCAGUUGAAAAGAUUUGAGAACAAGAAGAGGAUACAAAUUUUAGAAUAAGGUGUAAUGACUCACGAGAUUUAUGCUACAUGUUUUCUUAUUCAUGAUUUAUGGGAUUCAGAUUUCAGUUUUUGCUCAAGUUAUGUGAGUCAUUUAUAUCAGCAUGCAUGAUUUCUAUAAAGAGUGAUGAUAUUGUUUAACUAUUGCAUACACCCCCA